rnacentral:rRNA from 1 species
UACGUAGGGCGCAAGCGUUGUCCGGAAUUAUUGGGCGUAAAGAGCUCGUAGGCGGCUUGUCACGUCGGGUGUGAAAGCCCGGGGCUUAACCCCGGGUCUGCAUUCGAUACGGGCUGGCUAGAGUGUGGUAGGGGAGAUCGGAAUUCCUGGUGUAGCGGUGAAAUGCGCAGAUAUCAGGAGGAACACCGGUGGCGAAGGCGCCGCUCUGGGCCGUGACUGACGCUGAGGAGCGAAAGCGUGGGUAGCAAACAGG